GAACCGACCGCAAAGACUUCAGCUUCCCCGCAUGAUCAGGUGCACCUGGGCGAACCCGGAGCUCUUCGACGAUUGGCUCCCUCCAGGUCACAUGACGCUCAUCCCAGCCCUCACCUGCGCUCUUUGAUAAUCCCACAGGAUCAUUGAUGAUCUCAAGAAUCAGCUCCUCCUGCAGUUGGAUUGGAGAAAAAGCAUCAAAUCAGCUUCAGGAAUAUCAAGUUCUGCUGAAGCUGGUGACGGUGAUGGGGCCGUACCUCAUCCUCGUUCCAGUCAGACACUUUCCAUUCGCACAUAUAGGAGGCUCGGUUUCUCUUCCAGAACUCCAAAAAGAGUGUGGCUGUCAGAAAGAAGAGGUGGAUUGUGGAUGAGGUGAAGGAGUCUUCUCCUGAAGCUCAGAGCCAAUUCAUCACGCAUUAGAAAAUGUGUAUUAAAAUGUUGAAACCAU